UACGAAGGGUGCAAGCGUUAAUCGGAAUUACUGGGCGUAAAGCGUGCGUAGGUGGUCUUUUAAGUCCGUUGUGAAAGCCCUGGGCUCAACCUGGGAAUGGCAGUGGAUACUGGAAGGCUGGAGUACGGUAGAGGAGGGUGGAAUUCCUGGUGUAGCGGUGAAAUGCGCAGAGAUCAGGAGGAACACCGAUUGCGAAGGCAGCUCGCUGGGACGUCACUGACGCUGAGACGCGAAAGCGUGGGGAGCAAACAGG
rnacentral:rRNA from 1 species